GGUGGAUGGCGCUCCUGCUUGCCAACCUACCUCAUUUCCAUCUCUCCUCCCUACUGACUAGAAACCUUCUGGUUAAAAUAACACACAGCCUCUAUUCACAGCUCCAACUUAGAGCUGCUAUCGGAGACAGCUUUGGGAUUUAAGGAAGUCUCAAGAAGAUGCUCUCGAGUUGUUUUCUCAAUAUUCAAUGUUAGACUCUCGGGAAGAAAGCAGGGAUCUGGUCAGGUAACACGUGAAUAACCGAAUGAGCUGUCAUCUUUCAACCAACCGCCAGCCUGCCGCUCUUCCCUCCUGUUAUUCCAGUCACAAUAGAAAAGAAGAAGAAGCUUGUUUGGUAUUAAAAGAACUGGAUAUUUGAGUAUGUGUGUGUGCACAUGUGUAUAUAUGUGUGUGGAUAUACACUCCUCAUCUGUGAAAUAGACGUGUGACGUGUGAAGUUCCUUCCAGCUCUGAAUCUCUGGAUCUGAGUUAUUGGCUUUCCUAGCCUUACUAUACACCUCUAAAUAUCAUGGCAAAAGCAUACCGGGGGCUCUGCCGUCGAGUGCCACGGGAAGUUGACUAGGCAGCAGGACAAGAAUAAAAACUAGGCAGAUUGGAAAUUCAGAGGAAGUCUAUGGAAGAGAUCACAGAAAAAGUCCGGGUGGAGAAUAAACUAAAAAUCGCAAAAGACAACACACCUCUCCUGGCAGACAGCAAAUGAGGAGUUCAGAGGCUACCAGUGAAAUCAAGUGAAGGAAACAGUGGGAGGAAGAAUCCAGAAAACGCAUCGUUAAGGAAAGCAGCACAGAUGCUGUUCAGCUUGCCAGCACGAGAGCCAACUGUUUAAAGGAAACAGGAAGCUUUGGGGGCGAAGGUAGUAAGUGGAGCAAAUAAGGGAGCCGUGGAUGGAAUUUUUAGGCUGGAGAUUUCAUGGUGAAAAGUUAUGGACGGUAAGAACUUUGGCAUGAUGGUUAAAGGGAUGAGUCAUUCCAGAGACUAAAGAGGCUUUAUAAAAAAAGAUGUGAACAUGUUAGGAGUUGGAGGACACUUGUCACACCAAACAUCUUAGAAACAAACCGGAAUUCACUCAUUCUUUCAUUUAGCAUUUAUUAAGCAUCAGCCUGCUACUGGGGAUGCAAAGGUGG